GCAUGGGUAGCUCAGUCUGUUGAGCAUCCAAUUCUUAAUUUCGGCUUGGGUUGUGAACUUUGGGUCGUGGGAUCAAAUCCCAUUUCAGGCU
rnacentral:tRNA from 1 species